GGCUGAAAUUCGCCUUCAUGAAGCCGGAAUUGCUAGUAAUGGCAGGUCAGCAUACUGCCGUGAAUACGUUCCCGAGCCUUGUACACACCGCCCGUCACACCAUGAGAGUUGGGAAUACCCGAAGCCUGUGAGCUAACGUAAGAGGCAGCAGUCGAAGGUAGAAUCAAUGAUUGGGGUGAAGUCGUAACAAGGUACC
rnacentral:rRNA from 1 species